rnacentral:lncRNA from 1 species
CCUCAACCUUUGCAGCACGAAGUCGGUGCCGAGGAAGACUCGACUGAGUGCGUGCUCCUGCUACACCAGUGGGACGAACCGGCUAUUCCAGUGAAGGAACUACAAGCCUCGACGGCAGCGGACGUCACGCUUGCUGCGGUUUACAGGGAGCCGCCAGCAUCUCGGACGACAGUGGUGGACUGCGAGCAAUGGACGAUCGCGCCAGGUGAUGCCGUGUAUGUUCGAAAUUACGGUGCCGGUGACAAGUGGACCCCGGGCAAGGUCAAGUCAACGGAGGGCUCAAGAGUGGUGUCUGUAGAGACAGACAAUGGUAUCGUGCACCGUCACGCAGACCAAGUUCGCAAACGAAUGCCAGACAGACCAUCCGCUACAAUGUCAAACAAUGACUCCGAGGGAACUGGUGCACAGCCCAGUGACGGAACUACAACCCUUCAGUCAGCACCGCCGGACGUCGCAGCAGAUGUUCAACCCCAGCUACGUCGUUCCACUCGUGAAAGAAAACCCGUGGAGCGUUAUGGAUUCUAAGAAAAGGGAAAUGCUGCAACUUGCAAGCCACC